rnacentral:lncRNA from 1 species
AUCUCUGAAUGAUGAACUAAACUAAAUAAGAAAUAUAUGUAGUAAAUUCAUUCAAAGUAGAAAAGGGAUCUUACAUCAAAUAAGGCAUUACAACAAACAUGGUGUUAUCUUAAUAAAAGAAAUUACAUCAUUAGAAGAGAAAAGGGAAGAAAACCAAACAUGAGAUUGAGAUUAAUACAUCUAGGAGGAGGUCGUAGAUAUCACUUUGAUCAUUUUGCGGCCUGGGGAGCAAGGCUACAUGGUUUUUAUAUGCCUUGUCCGGCUGCUGGAGUAGAUGACAUGGAAACGUUGUCUCUACCAUCUCAAUGGCUUAGACCCAGGGAGCCGGAUGUUCAUCUCGGCCUCCCCAGCUUCCAUCAAUGGAUUUUUAUACUUAGGUUAAAGACUGAGAGGCCCUAUGCAUGUCCAAAUAUGCGAGUAGCAUAUCCAAUACAGAUCAAUAAAAAGAAAAGAGAAGACCACAAACAUCACAAAAACACAAUUUUGACAAAUUAUCUCUAUUGUAAAAUUGAGGGAGUAACUCAUUAUUCGAGAGAACUGGCCAUUGACAGUUCAGUUACAAUUAUCAAGGAGAACUGUAAGUUGCUAACUUAAUUACAUCAUUCUUCACAUAAGCUUCUCACUGAGGAAAUUUCUUGACUGGAAGGUCACAUUUCAAGCCAUUGCACUUAUAAAACCCAGACCUGUUGUCAUUUAAAUUGCAAAUUAAUCAUCAAUAAUGCACAAUAAUUUAUGACCCAUAAAUGAUUUGGAGCCUAAGGAGGAGAAAAUAUCAAUGCAAAUAAAUACACACGUAGUAAGAUGCAUUGUAAUAGUCGUAUUACUUGAAUUUGUAAGCUGACCAGCAAACGCAUAGUACACAAAAGAGACAAAGCUUUUACCAUAAUUGGUACUCAACCUUCUUGCUCCUGCUAAUGAUUUUGCCAUUAAGGCAUCAGAGUAAGGGGAGGAAGAACGGGACGACGCCUACUGGAAGUUGCCGAUGGGUGUUGAUGGCCUGGCCAAGCCAUCUCCCUCCAUGAUAGGUGGCAGUCGGCGGAGAGGUGUAAAUAUGACGAGAUGUGAAAAUAAGCUCGAGGAAAUUAAUAUGGACCAGCAAACUGACAAAAGCAAAAUACAACAUAAUUAUAUUGCAGAGUGUACUAACAUAAUUAUAUUCUGGAUUAAACUAAUAGCACAACAUUUACAGGGUUAGAACGCAGUGCACAUAUAUAUCUUAGUGGCGCAAAAACUAUUUAGCCAACUUCACUAACAAUGUAGAAAUAGGCUUCAGUGUACUAACAUAGUUAUUUUGGAUAUAAGCAAUCAACCAUGAAUUUAACAUCAGAGAUAUCUGACCAUUUUAAGUAAUGAAAAAAGAGCCCAAUAGCAAGAUAGCACAACAUGGAGCUGCAUUGACCAGCCCCUUUUAAAGAAAGGCUUUAGGAUUAGAAGUUGUGUAGUUGACCAACUUGGAAAUAUAAAAGCAUUUCCUUCAAAUUAGUACAACACCUUCGACAAAUGCAAUGUGAUAAGAAAGCAAUGAACAUAUACACUGUUCCACACUUAGUUUUGUGUGUAAAAAGAAAGCCAUGCCAGAUGAUUUUUUUGGAUUACAGAAACCUAGCCUGAAUACAUCUGAAUGAUAUAAUCAAUUUUCGAAAUGUUUGGCAGGCACAAGAAAAACACACGCACUACAAAAAAAGACACCUCCGUGACAUUUUGGGCCGAACGAAUUUUUUCUGUCAUACUUAUGACACUCGUAUGACGAUGAUUGUGACAAAACCCAGUAUCAUCGUAGAUGUGGUGGGCUCCUACUUCUAUGACAAAGAAUCAUUAUAGAAAAUGGGCUUUUCAUCCUGGUCGGGCCGGAGACGUACCUGCAUGAAAUUCUUUGGGCCGUCCAUGACAGAAAAAACUGUCGUAGAAGCGAGGGUGAGGAAAAUAUCGGGGUGUUCCAGGUUACGGUGGGUGGUCGGGCCAAGCAAUGCAUGGAGGUUUGCACAUUUCUCUCGUACAUGCACAUGCUUAGGUGCGAGGCGUUGGGCUCUAACUGAACCCGAGUGAGGCGUUCGCCUACUGAACCCGAGUGAUUGCACUGAAGGUUACGCGUUACUGAACCCGAGCGAUCGAUCAAUGGCUGUUAACUGAACCCGAUCGAGCGAUUCCUUUGCUACUGCUGCUAACUAAAGCCGAUCAAUGCUGCCUCUGGAUGAACAGUGAGCGUUGUUGGGGGGUUUCGAUGAACAGUUCCCGGUGGGGGUUGGAUGAACAACACCCCGAUCCAUCGAGCCGGUUGAGCGUGGAUGAACAGGACCUUGUGGAGGGAUGGAUGAACAGGACCCCAUGGAGGGAAGGUUUAACAGUAGUCGGUGGAGGGAUGGUUGAACAGUAGCCGGUGGAGGACUGGAUGAACAGUAGCCAGUGGAGGGGUGGUUGAACAGGAGCCCAUGGAGAGGGCUGGUUGAACAGUAGCCGGUGGAGUAGCGCACGGUGGAGGCUGGAUGAACAGGAGCCCGUGGAUGAACAGGAGCAGGUGGAGGCUGGAGGAGGUCGACGGUGGAUGAAUAGGAGCCCGUGGAGGAUGGAGGAUGUCGACGGUGGAGAUGAAUAGUAUCCUGCGGAGUCCCGUUUUGCAGUACGCCACACCCCUCCUGAUGAACAGGACCCCCGUUUCGACUGUAGCGUUCAAACACAAGUCUGUUUCCCCCGUUUCGCGGUAUGCCACACCCCUCCCUAUCAACAGGACCCUGUUUCGAUCGUAGGAGGUCCAACAGAAGUCUAUUUCCUCUGUUUUGCGGUACGCCAGACCCCUCCCGAUGAAUAGGAUCCCGUUUCGAACGUGGCUGGUCGAACACAAGGCCGUUUCCUCCAUUCUGCGGUACGCCAGACCUCAUUUCCAUCGGCUAUUCCGUCCAAGCCGGUUGGCUCCCACGUGUUUCGUUGCCUCCCGAUGAACACGACGCAUUUCGUUGCCUCCCCAUGAACACGACGGCGAUGCAGUUUCCCUGUUCCGACCCAGCAAUGUACACGAGCCCUGGUCGUACGUAUGCGCAAGUAGGCCUUCGAGACCCCGCAUGUAUGUAUUGCAUGUCUAUUACCGCAUUGGUCAGUACAAUCUUUGCAAGCUUAUGUAUGCAAUCACUAGGAGUUAAUUUGCCAAGUUAUAUAUAAACAAUUAUUAUUUUUAUUUUGUAAGAACUUUCAAUUUACGAAAUAAAAUAUCAUUUUAAUUUGAAGAUUUAAUAGGACAUGGGGUAUUAUUAUUUUUUAGGCUAGACGUGGGACAUUUGAGUUGGUUCUAGGGAAAAGUACUGAGAGAAAACUCAGUUUACAUCGAAAAAGAAAGAGGAAGAAAAUUCAGAUAUAGGAUUAAUGAAAACAAAAAUAAAGGAUGUGGGAAGGUCUAUAAAAUGGUUGGACGAACGACAAGUUUAACCAAACCUUAUGUUGUUUCUAUUAUAUAUAUAUAUAUAUGUAAUAAAAUAAGAUAUAUAUAUAUAUAUAUAUACACACACACUAUUAUUGAAGGGAAAACAUAGGUUCAGUCUUGCAUUCUUAUAGAAAAAUAGAACUGAGCUAUGCGUCGUCUUGAAAAAACAAACAUAACUUGGGUUGCUGAUGUUAUAUACAAGCUAGGUUGGGAGGCCCAGAGGCCGCUUGAUCCAAAAAAUGUUGAAACAUGUUGUGGGCUGCCCAUGUUAAACAACAAAACCUAGGCCAUGGACCUGGUGGGCCCGGGACUGUCAGCCUCUCGACGAACAUUGUCUCCCGAUUCCUCUUGUUUUGCUGACCAUGUUGGGAACGAUAGACGGCGGCGCCGCAGCGAGAGCACCAAGGCGGAGGACAAUGUCGAGACAAUGGACCGAACAAACCAGAGUGGGGCAAAACACAGGCGGAGGGGAGUACGAGGGUUGACUUGUUCGGAUGCAGGGUGGUUGGUGGAGCUCCUUGGUAUCGUUGUCUUCUUUCAUGUUGGCGUAGCAGGGGUUGAUAAUGGUCUCGGCGAGUCCUUCUCCUGCCCGUUGCCGAUGAUCUUGUAUUGCUUAUGGAUGUCGACAAGCUUGUUGCACCAAAUGGCCGAAUCGUCACGUUCUUCCUUCUCUCCACCGUAGCAAAGGUGCAGUCGGCGCUGCCGAUGAAAUGGGCGAAUGCUCCAGAACCUUUGAUGGCCCUACAGCAGUGGUAGACGAGAACCUCGUCUUGCACGCAUACCUGGGCGACCGUGAUCCGCUGGUCCCUAUCAGGAGAUGAAUGGAUGGGCACAAGGUCUAGUCCUGCUACCUUGUGCUUUCUCAUCCUAUAGGUACUGCUUGAACUCGGCGAGGCAGAGCUUCACCGAGUCCGGAUCGUUGGUGUACAUCACACUCAACUUGGUACCGCCAUGGGACUGAACGGAGAACUCAAAGGUGAACUCCUUGCUGAAGUCCAUAUCUAGCAGGCUCACCCCUCAGAUCGCCAUUGGAGUCUCUUCAAGUGAAUGAGUGAGUAGGCGGCAGCAGCAGUUCGUUUUCAGCUCUUGGGGAACUGGAUUCAAUAGUAAACUGAGUGUGUAUAGGCGACAAUAGUUACUACCCCUCCUUCGCCCGCUGCACGCCCGGCAGAAUAUGCACCCUGAGCGCAUUCAAACACCUCCAUUAAGAAACUUAUUCCAUCCACACAUGUCGGUUCACGAGUGGGUCUGUAUUGGUGCUGUAAUAACAAGUGUUAGUGGUCACUUUACUUAAAUUUAAUUAGCUUUAAUUAAAAUGUAUUCUUAAAACAAGCAAUGCAUUGGCUUGUUCUAUCAGUGCCACAGGAUCAACAUGCACAACAAUUAGAAUUAUAUAUAUAAGUCCGCACAUGAUCGGCACAUUUGCCGCACUUUCACACAGAAAAUACUACCAAGUUUGAACAAUUUGUUAUGGUUGUUGUCCUCUGCAUCAUCAUGUCGUGUUUCCUAGCUUGCAAGAUUCAGAACCAACAAAUAAGAUUCAAAUAAUAAGUACACCAAAGAUGCCUACACUUCUCAUUGAUUCCCAGCUUCCAAGAUUCAGAACCAACAAAUAAGAUUCAAAUAAUAAGUACAACAAAGAUGCCUACACAUCUCAUUGAUUCCCAGCUUGCAAGAUUCAGAACCAACCCAUUAGAGCCUUUUGAUAAAGUGAAUAUCGGGAUUAAAUCCAUCUUGGCUAGCCGUGCCAUACAACCCAAGAACUUGGCAAAUGCUGUUGACCAUCACAACAUCUGUAGUAGAGUAUUCAUGUUUGCAUAGAUAAGAAACAACAUGAUUACUAUAAUGGUGGCACUAGUUGAAGCAACCGAUGUGACGGGCCCUAUACUGCCACUACUUGAUGUGGUGAACCUGCAACUGCACUUGGAUGAGGUCAACCUGCAGAUCCAUGAUUCAAUUCAUGCGCCUUUUUCUACAGUUCACCUGAAAUGAAGCAAAGAUUGCAACAUUCAGCUAGCAAGAAGUACUUGCUCUCGUGAGCUGGCAGGUUCUUCUUUAGUAGUUGCACUAAAAUUUAGCGACAUUGAGGUUGGCUGUCCUGCUCAUGUAAGGUGCAACUAUAAUUUGCUUAUCCUUUUGUGCAGUUCCACUAAAAUAAAGUGCCAUUGUGGUGACAGUGACGGCUCAUCUUGCAAAAGCUAAUAAAAUGUUGCACGAGCUUACUAGCAGAAUUUGAUGGACAUUUUGGAAACUCCAAUCACCAUUUUGAGAAGUUCCACCAAAAUUGAGAGAUGUUGCCUAUGUGACACUUUAGUUGAACUGCACAAGACACUCAUUCCAAAAGAAAGUGUUUUGUGCAGUUCACCAAAAGGUCACAGUAGCAACAGGUGAAAUGGAUAUCCCUAUCUGCACAAAAAGAUAGAAAGAAAACAGUUGUUGGUCAAUAAGAAUAUACAAAACAUACACGAAAUGAAAAGAAGCAUAUUAAUUAUGUUCAUGGCAAUCACACAAGGAUAGUAGAAAUUUUAAAACUUUAGCAAUGCUUCAUGCUACCGGAAGCAUUACGAUCAACUAUGACAUUCAUCCAAUAUGGGAUUACUUUAAUGGUGGCAUUGCUUGUUUACCAGAUAUAGUAAAUCAACAGCAGCUAAAGAGUUGGUUUAAGAGCAUGGGACCGUGGGGACACCAGGUCACUCAGCAGCGUAAAGAAGCAACUUACUUAUCAUACUUGGGAAAACAACAGGAGUACCAUUUGUUAACAUAGUUUAAUUGCAUCAUAUCACUGGAGGCAUUAGAUUAACAAUAGCACUGGUUAGACAUGUCCUUAAGGUAAUAGUGGGAUCGCUUCAUUUUACAUGCGCCCUUACAUUAACAAAAACAAAGGGUUGGUAUAAGGACAUGUGACAUUGGACGCAUCAGCACAAUGUACCUACAAGGAGGCAUAAAGUGGUGAUGCCGAGUUUGUUCAUGCUCUGUGAGGGCAGUAAAUCUAAUCCUGGAGAACUUUUCCUAUGUGAGGACAACAAAUCUAAUCCUGGAGACCUUUUACUAUGUGAGGGCAGCAAAUCUAAUCCCGGAGACCUUUUACUAUGUGAGGGCAGCAAAUCUAAUCCUGGACAUACUCUGUUGAUAAUGGGGUAUCAUAUUGAUUCACUUGAUAUGUGUUUCGGCACUCAACUCGCAGAUUCCCGUGGUGACAUUGGAGUAAUCUAUGCAUAGGGGUUGAUGCAUGUUCUCGUCUUUGUUUCUCCAGUAGAAAUCUUGGGGCACUCUUUGAGGUUCUUUUUGUUGGAUUGAAUAUUAUGAAUCUGAAAUUGUUUGACGCAUAUCGUAUAAUUAACUCAUGGAUACAUGUGGUGACAUUGGAGUAUCAAGGUGACAUUAGAGUUGGUUGUUAUCUUAGUAUGAACACCUGGAUAGAUCGAUCAGAAAAAAAAUAAUUUGAGCUGGUUUCAUACCCUACAAACAAUUUAUUCUUAUGUUCUCCACUAGAUAGGAACUUUGGAGUGAUUCUUCAUUGCACGUUGAGGGAUGGUUAUAUGAUCCAAUUAAAUUAGCAUUAUUGAGAGAUUGCACUAGCAAAAGUAUGAACCCUAGGCCUUGUUUUCAAGCAUUGCAAUACUGUUUGUGCUCACUUUAUCACUUGCUACCUGGUUGUUUUUAUUUAUUCAAAUUAUAACAAUAUAUUUCUACCAUCCAUACUUCACUUUUAUCACCAUCUCUUUGUUGAACUAGCUAGUGCGCCUAUACAAUUUGCCAUUGUAUUAACUGUGUUGGGGACACAAGAGAUUUCUUGUAUUUGGUUGCAAGGUUGUUUGAGAGAGACCAUAUUCAUCCUACGCCACUGAUCUCUACUACACAACCUUCUUCUUGUAAACGUUGUUGGGCCUCCAAGUGCACAGGUUUGUAGAACAGUAGCAAAUUUCCCUCAAGUGGAUGACCUAAGGUUUAUCAAUCCGUGGGAGGCGUAGGAUGAAGAUGGUCUCUCUCAAACAACCCUGCAACCAAAUACAAGAAAUCUCUUGUGUCCCCAACACACUUAAUACAAUGGCAAAUUGUAUAGGCGCAUUAGCUAGUUCAACAAAGAGAUGGUGAUAAAAGUGAAGUAUGGAUGGUAGAAAUAUAUUUUUAAAAUCUGAAUAAAUAAAAACAACUAGGUAGCAAGUGAUAAAAGUGAGCACAAACAGUAUUGCAAUGCUUGAAAACAAGGCCUAGGGUCCGUACUUUCGCUAGUGCAAUCUCUCAAUAAUGCUAAUAUAAUUGGAUCAUAUAACCAUCCCUCAACGUGUGAUGAAGAAUCACUCCAAAGUUCAUAUCUAGCGGAGAACAUAAGAAUAAAUUAUUUGUAGGGUAUGAAACCACCUCAAAGUUAUUUUUUUCGAUCAAUCUAUCUAAGUGUUCGUACUAAGAUAACAACCAACUCUAAUGUCACCUUGAUACUCCAAUGUUACCACAGGUAUCCUUGAGUUAAUUAUACGAUAUGCAUCAAACAAUUUCAGAUUCAUAAUAUUCAAUCCAACAAAAAGAACCUCAAAGAGUGCCCCAAGAUUUCUACCGGAGAAACAAAGACGAGAACAUGCAUCAACCCCUAUGCAUAGAUUACUCCAAUGUCACCUCGGGAAUCUGCCAGUUGAGUGCCAAAACACAUAUCAAGUGAAUCAAUAUGAUAUCCCAUUAUCACCACGGGUAUUCAUAGCAAGACAUACAUCAAGUGUUCUCAGAUCCAUAAAAGUAUUCAAUCCGAUAAUAACGAAAUCUCAAAGAAAAAACCCAAUUCAUCACAACAAGAUAGACAGGGCAAAACACCAUAUGAUCCGACUAUAUUAACAAAGCUCACGAUACAUUAAGAUCAUGUCAAAUGAAGAACACGAAAGAGAGAGAGAGAGAGAUUAAACACAUAGCUACUCUACAGACCCUUGAUACGUCUCCAACGUAUCUAUAAUUUUUUAUUGUACCAUGCUAUUAUAUUACCCCUUUUGGAUGUUUAUGGGCUUUAUUUCACACAUUUAUAUCAUUUUUGGGACUAACCUACUAACCGAGGCCCAGCUCGUAUUGCUGUUUUUUUGCCUAUUUCAGUAUUUCGAAGAAAAGGAAUAUCAAACGGAGUCCAAACGGAAUGAAACCUUUGGGAGCGUGAUUUUUGGAACGAACGUGAUCCAGAGGGCUUGGAGUGCAAGUCAAGAAGCAAUCUAGGCAGCCAGGAGAUAGGAGGGCACGCCCACCCCACCUGGGUGUGCCCCUUGUCUCCUGGGCCCCUCGAGCGGCCACCGACGUACUUCUUCCUCCUAUAUAUACCUACGUACCCCGAAAACAUCCACGGAGCCACCGAAACACAGUUUCCACCGUUGUAACCUUCUGUAUCCGCGAGAUCCCAUCUUGGAGCCUUCGUCCGUGCUCCGCCGGAGGGGGAAUCGACCAUGGAGGGCUUCUACAUCAACACCAUAGCCCCUCCGAUGAGUUGUGAGUAGUUUACCACAGACCUUCGGGUCCAUAGUUAUUAGCUAGAUGGCUUCUUCUCUCUUUUUGGAUCUCAAUACAAUGUUCUCCCCCUCUCUUGUGGAGAUCUAUUCGAUGUAAACUCUUUUUGCGGUGUGUUUGUCGAUAUCCGAUGAAUUGUGGGUUUAUGAUCAAGUUUAUCUAUGAGAAAUAUUUGAAUCUCCUCUGAAUUCUUUUAUGUAUGAUUGAGUUAUCUUUGCAAGUCUCUUCGAAUUAUCAGUUUGGUUUGGCCUACUAGAUUGAUCUUUCUUGCCAUGGGAGAAGUGCUUAGCUUUGGGAUCUUGCGGUGUCCUUACCUAGUGACAGAAAGGGUUGCAAGGCACGUAUUGUAUUGUUGCCAUCUAGGAUAAAAAGAUGGGGUUUAUAUCAUAUUGCUUGAGUUUAUCCCUCCACAUCAUGUCAUCUUUCUUAAUGCGUUACUCUGUUCUUAUGAACUUAAUACUCUAGAUGCAUGAUGGAUAGCGGUCGAUGUGUGGAGUAAUAGUAGUAGAUGCGGGCAGGAGUCGGUCUACUUGUUGCGGACGUGAUGCCUAUAUACAUGAUCAUGCCUAGAUAAUCUCAUAAUUAUUUGCUUUUCUAUCAAUUUCUCGAUAGUAAUUUGUUCACCCACCAUAAUACUUAUGCUAUCUUGAGAGAAGCCUCUAGUGAAACCUAUGGCCCCUGGGUCUAUCUUUUAUCAUAUAAGCUUUCAAUCUACUUUUAUUUGCCUCUUUACUUUUUGCAUCUAUAUUAUAAAAACCAAAAAUAUAUUUAUCUUAACAUACUAUCUCUAUCAGAUCUCAGUUUCGCAAGUGGCCGUGAAGGGAUUGACAACCCCUUUAUUGCAUUGGUUGCGAGUUCUUUGUUUUUUGUGUAGGUACGUGGGACUUUUGAGGAGCCUCCUACUGGAUUGAUACCUUGGUUCUCAAAAACUGAGGGAAAUACUUACACUACUAUUGCUGUAUCACCCUUUCCUCUUCAAGGAAAACCAACUCAAGCUCAAGACGUAGCAAGAAGGAUUUCUGGCGCCGUUGCCGGGGAGGUCUUCGCUCAAGUCAAGACAUACCAAGUACCCAUCCCAAACUCAUCUCCCUCGCAUUUACAUUAUUUGCCAUUUGCCUCUCGUUUUCCUCUCCCCCACUUCACCCUUGCCGUUUUAUUUGCCCUCUCUUUCCCAAUCUUCUUCUUUCUCUUUUUCGCUUGCCCUUUUCUGUUUGCUUGUGUGUUGGAUUACUUGUUGCCAUGGCGCAAGAUAAUACCAAACUGUGUGAUUUAUCCAAUACCAAUAAUAAUGAUUUCCUUAGUACUCCGAUUGCUCCUCUUAAUGAUGUUGAGUCUUGUGAAAUCAAUACUGCUUUGCUGAGUCUUGUUAUGAAAGAUCAAUUCGCCAGCCUUCCUAGUGAAGAUGUCGCUACUCAUCUAAACAACUUUGUUGAUUUGUGUGAUAUGCAAAAUAAGAAAGAUAUGAAUAAUGAUAUUGCUAAAUUGAAGUUAUUUUCGUUUUCACUUAGAGAUCGUGCUAAAGUUUGGUUUUCGUCUUUGCCUAAAAAUAGUAUUGAUUCUUGGAACAAGUGCAAAGAUGCUUUUAUCUCUAAGUAUUUUCCUCCCGCUAAGAUUAUCACUCUUAGGAACGAUAUUAUGAAUUUUAAACAACUUGAUCAUGAGCAUGUUGCCCAAUCUCGGGAAAGAAUGAAAUUGAUGAUUCAUAAUUGCCCUACUCAUGGUUUGAAUUUAUGGAUGAUCAUACAAAAAUUUUAUGCCGGUUUGAACUUUGCUUCUAUAGAUCUUUUAAAGUCGGCCGCGGGAGGCACGUUUAUGGAAAUCAUGUUAGGAGAUGCUACAAAACUUCUUGGUAAUAUUAUGGCUAAUUAUUCUCAAUGGCACACCGAAAGAUCUUCUAGAAAAGUGCAUGCUAUAUAAGAAAUCAAUGUUUUGAGUGGAAAGAUGGAUGAACUUAUGAAGUUGUUUGCUACUAAAAAUACUCCUCUUUAUCCCAAUGAUAUGCCUUUGUCUACUUUCAUUGAGAAUAAUAAUGAAUCCAUGGAUGUGAAUUUUGUUGGUAGGAGUAGUUUCAGAAACAAUGCUUAUAGAGGAAACUUUAAUUCUAGACCGUUCCCUAGUAAUUCCUCUAAUAAUUAUGGAAAUUCUUACAAUAAUUCUUAUGGUAAUUUUAAUAAGAUUCCCUCUGAUUUUGAGAAUAGUGUGAAAUAAUUUAUGAUGUCUCAAAAGAAUUUCAAUGCUUUGCUUGAAGAAAAAUUGCUCAAAGUUGAUGAUUUGGCUAGGGACAUUGAUAGACUUUCGCUUGAUGUUGAUUCUCUUAAAAUUAGAUCUACUCCUCCUAGGCAUGAUAUCAAUGAGUCUCUCAAAGCAAUGAGAAUUUCCAUUGAUGAGUGCAAGGAAAGAACCGCUAGAUUGCGUGCUAAGAAAGAUUGCUUUGUAAAGGCGUGUUCUUCUAGUUUCCAUGAAAAUAAUGAUGAAGAUCUUAAAGUUAUUGAUGUGUCUCCUAUUAGAUCUUUGUUUUGCAAUAUGAAUCUUGAUAAUAAUGGGACUGGAGAUGAGUCAACUUUAGUUAGAAGGCGUCCCAAGAAUUCAGAGUUUUUAGAUCUUGAUGCUAAAUUUGGUAAAAGUGGGAUUGGAGAGGUCAUGACUUUAAAUAGUAUUGAACCCACUAUCUCGGAUUUCAAGGAAUUUGAUUAUUAUAAUUUUUCUUUAGAAAGUUGUAUUUCCUUAUUGCAAUCUGUUGUUAAUUCUCCUAAUGCUUAUAGUCAAAAUAAAGCUUUUACCAAACAUAUCGUUGAUGUCUUGAUGCAAUAUUUUGAUGAAAAACUUAAUUUGGAAGUUUCUAUACCUAGAAAACUUAAUGAUGAGUGGGAACCUACUAUAAGGAUUAAAAUUAAAGAUCAUGAGUGUUUUGCUUUGUGUGAUUUGGGUGCUAGUGUUUCCACGAUUCCGAAAACUUUAUGUGAUAUUCUAUGUUUCCAUGAUCUUGAUGAUUGCUCUUUAAAUUUGCACCUUGCGGAUUCCACCAUUAAAAAGCCAAUGGGAAGGAUCAAUGAUGUCCUCAUUUUUGCAAAUAGAAAUUUGGUACCCGUAGAUUUUAUCGUUCUUGAUAUAGAUUGCAAUCUUUCUUGCCCUAUUAUACUUGGUAGACCUUUCCUUAGAACGAAAGGGAACAUUAGAUUCCAAUUUCCAUUAAAGAAAGUCAUGGAGCACUUUCCAAGAAAGAAAGUCAAAUUACCUUAUGAAUCUAUCAUGCGAGCUACUUAUGAAUCGAGUGCCAAAGAUGGCACUACUUAGAUCUAUCUUCGCUUUUAUGCCUAGCUAGGGGCGUUAAACGAUAGCGCUAGUUGGGAGGCAACCCAAUUUUCUUUGUUUUUUUUGUUUUUUUUCUGUUUAGUAAUAAAUUUUUCAUCUAAUUUCUGUUUAGAUGUGUUUUUAUGUUUUAAUUAGUGUUUGUGCCAAGUAGAACCUAUAGGAUAACCUAUGAUGAUAGUUGGUUUGAUUCUGCUGAAAAACAGAAACUUUGCACUCACAAGAAAAUAUUUAAUAAAUCACAAAAACGUGAUUUUGCGUUGAUUCUUUUUUAUUCUGAUCAAUAAAAAAAAAUUCCAGGACUUCCUAUUUUGGUAGGAUUUUUAGAGUUCCAGAAGUUUGCGUUAGUUACAGAUUUCUACAUACUGUUCUGUUUUUGACAGAUUCUGUUUUUCGUGUGUUGUUUGCUUAUUUUGAUGCAUCUAUGGCUAGUAUUAAGUGGUAUGAACCAUAGAGAACUUGGAAUACAUUAGGUUUAACACCAAAAUAAAUAAAGAAUGAUUUCAUUACAGUAACUUAUGUGGUGAUUUUGUUUUCUUUCACUAACGGAGCUUAUAAGAUUUCCUAUUGAGUUUGGUGUUGUGAAGUUUUCAAGUUUUGGGUAAAGCUUUGAUGGAGUAUGGAAUAAGGAGUGGCAAAAUCCUAAGCUUGGGGAUGCCCAUGGCACCCCAAGAUAUUCAAUAAUAGCCAAAAGCCUAAGCUUGGGGAUGCCCCGGGAAGGCAUCCCCUCUUUCGUCUUCGUUCAUUGGUAACUUUAGUUGGAGCUAUAUUUUUAUUCGCCACAUGAUAUGUGUUUUGCUUGGAGCGUCGUGUAUUAUAUUAGUCUUUGAUUUUUAGUUUACCACAAUCAUCAUUGUUGUACACACCUUUUGGGAGAAGCCUACUUGAUUUUAAUUUAUUAGAAUAUGCUAUGUGCUUCACUUAUACCUUUUGAGCUAGAUAGUUUUUGCUCUAGUGCUUCACUUAUAUCUUUUAGAGCACGGCGGUGGCUUGAUUUUGUAGAAAUUGAUAGUCUCUCAUGCUUCACUUAUAUUAUUUUUAGAGUAUUUUAGAACAGCAUGGUAUUUGCUAUGGUUAUAAAUUGGUCCUAGAAUGGUAGGCAUCCAAGUUGGGUAUAAUAAAAACUAUCAUAGGAAGUGAAUUGGAUGCUAUGAUCAAUUUGAUACUUGAUAAUUGUUUUGAGAUAUGGAGGUAGUGAUAUUAAAGUCAUGCUAGUUGGGUGAUUAUGAAUUUAAAGAAUGCUUAUGUUGAAGUUAGCAAGUCCCGUAGCAUGCACGUAUGGUUAAAGUUGUGUAACAAAUUUGAAACAUGAAGUGUACCUGGCUUGUGCAUCCUUAUGAUGGCGGUCGGGGACGAGCGAUGGUCUUUUCCUACCAAUCUAUCCCUCUAGGAGCAUGCGCGUAGUGCUUGGUUUUUGAUGACUUCUAAAUUUUUGCAAUAAGUAUAUGAGUUCUUUUGACUAAUGUUGAGUCCAUGGAUUAUACGCACUUUUAUCUUUCCACCAUUGCUAGUCUCUUCGGUACCGUGCAUUGCCCUUUCUCACCUUGAGAGUUGGUGCAAACUUCGCUGGUGCAUCCAAACCCCGUGAUACGAUACGCUCUAUCACACAUAAACCUCCUUAUAUCUUCCUCAAAACAGCCACCAUACCUACCUAUUAUGGCAUUUCCAUAGCCAUUCCGAGUUAUAUUGCCAUGCAACUUGUCACAUCCCUAGCUUCUGGUGCUGCCUAGUGUUUGCAUCUUGCUUGCAUCAUGUUUAAUUUUCAUGGAAUUUGAAAUGGGGAUGUUCAAACCCUAGCAUCAAAAGGAAUUCAAAUAGGUUCAACCAAAAUAUUUUUCAAUGAUUUCAAAAUGCCCUUUAAAAAUGUUCAUCAUUUCUGGAUCAAGGUGGAAGCAUCUACCAAAAAUGGUUCACAUUUUUGCAGGACAUAUUUGGACUUUGAAUUAAUUCAAACAUAUUUGAAUUGGAGCUAUUUAAAUGCUAUAUAUAUUUUACAUGCUCCAAAAAUGUUGGAAAUUUUUAAGGGUCACUGGAAUAAUUCAGAAAGCACCCAUAAUUAUUUCCAGGAUUUUAUGAAAUGAAUUAUUAUUUUACUAAUUCAAAACAGAGAAAUAAAAUAGAAAACUGAAACAAAAUAAAGGAGAGAGAGAAACCCACCUGCGCCUCACCUGUGCUGGCCCAGCCCACCUGGCCAGUCCACUUGGCGGCCCAGCCCACCAGGGGCACCGCUGUCUUCAAACUCUGCCUACUGGCAGAGGCGUGUCGACGCGCCCGUGCCCGAGCCUCCACCUCUUGCUUCGUGCUGGCGGCCUCUCCUUCGGGCCUAUCCGCGCCUGGAGACGCCCAGCACCCCCUCGCCCACUCCCCCGCCUCUCUGGCCUCUCCCCACCGCUCUGGCUCUCUCUCCCGCAGCCGCCCGAACACACCCGUAGCGCGCAGCUCACCGCCGUUGUGCCCACUGGCCUCCCCUCGCCUCCCCACUUGUCUGGAAGCUCCGCACUCGUCGCGUACAUCGUCUCCGUCAACACACACGACGCCGGGAGCCCUGUAGUGACGCCAUCGUCGUCGUCUUCACCGACGGGCACCAAAGAUCGCCGGCUCCGAUUCACCGUCUCCAAGUCGUCCCCGAGCUCGCUGACCAUCUCCUCUGCCUCCCUGUGAGCUCCUGCACCUCUCACCCCUCUCCCCGUCGGCGCUUUUCUCCUCUAGCCACCGCCCAAUGAGCAACCGGGGCCGCCGUCCGCCAUGGCCGGCGAGCCCGCGCUCCCGAGCUUCCCCUGCUUGCCCCUGUGGCACAGGUGUGAUUAUGCCGCCCCUAGAUGCCUCUUGUGCCACCCCGUUCACCGUACGCGAGCUGCAGCUCUGCGCCCACUGGAACCCGAGCCCCGCCGCCACUUGACCUCAUCACCGAGCCCAACUCCGGCAACCCUAGGGCCUCCCUCCACCUCCAUUGGAUGCGUCCGAGUGCCAGCUUUCCAACGGUACCGCCCGCGGCCCAAACGGUCUCCUGUAGAUGAAACCCGAGCCACUCCGGUGAACAUCCGCCACGCUCUUGGUCGCCGCCGGCUGAACUCCGGCGACUGCCGACGUGGCCGUGAUUAGGGCCUAAACACACCGCUAACCAACCCCCUGGGCCACUGACGCGUGGGCCCCACACCCUAACUAAUCCCAGUUUUGUUUCUGUUUAGGUUAGUUUAAAACCAAGCGGGACCCACAUGCCUGAGUUGACCCGGCUAACGUGGCCGUUGACUGGUCCCACACGUCAGCGACCCUAACCAGCACCGUGACACUGACCAGUGGGACCCCUGGUCAGGUUUGACCCGGAUCAGCCCCUUUGACCUGCUCACGUCAUGCUUACACAUUGCUGAUGCAGUUAAGGAAUUUUUGGAUUAAAUAUAAUUCAGUAAAUUCCAGAAAAUGUCCUAAACUUCUAAAAAUCAUAAAAAUUCAACCGUAACUCCAAAUGAAAUAAUUUAUAUAUGAAAAAUGAUCAGAAAAAUCCAAUCUAUCCAUCUGUACCAUUUUCAUGCAUGUUAGAACAACUUUGGUUCACUGUUAGGUCAAAUCAUAUAAAUGGCAUUUGAAUUUCACAUAUGGAGUUUGGAUUUGAACUUAGGGUUCAAACCAACUUCAUUUAACUUUGUUGCUGGCUGCAUUAGCUCAAAACACCAGCAUGUUGCCAUGUCAUGAUCAUGCAUCAUAAUGUGCAUUGCAUUGAUUGUGUUUCUUCUCUGUUGUCGGUAAUUGUUCCCUCUCAGUAGACGUGGUUCCGACGAUGAGAUCGAUGACACCGAUGAAGAACUAUACUAUCUUCAGAAGUGCCAGGAAAGCAAAACCCCCUUGUUCAUUCCGAUACAAUCCCACUCUCUCGCUCCUGCUCUCUUUUACUGCAUUAGGACAACAACGAUUUAUCUAUUACUUGCUGCGGUAGCUGAACCCCUUUAUCCUCUGCAUGGCCUGUCAUUGCCACAGUAAAUAGAUGAAACCCACUAGCAUGAGUAGGAGUUGUUUGAGCCCUGAUGUGCCUACUCAUUCAUGCUUGUUUGUCAUGCCUGCUAUUGCUUAGAGUUGUGUCAGGUCUGAUUCAUCGGGGAUGAAUUGGAAUGUGGUGAACAUGUCCUACUGUUGAGAGCUAAGUGUGUGAACACGAUUUGGUAAAGGUAGCGGUGAGAGGCCAUGUAGGAGUACAUGGUGGGUUGUCUCAUUGCAGCCGUCCUCAGGAACUGAGUUCUAUGUUUGUGAUCCAUGAACAGUUACUACCACACAUUGGGCUCCGGGCGCUCCAAGCUCUCUCGACUUAUUAAUCAACUUGAUCUCUGUCCAGGAGUUGCAACUAGUUUCUGGUGUUUGUAGGUAGUGUUAGUAGUCUACCAAGUGGCACCCGGUACAGGUGAGCUUGGGACAGACUAGGCACAGUGGCACGGUGCACCAAGUGGCACCCGGAUGGUGGGCUUGGGAACCCUGCUCACAUCGUUUGGGGCCGUGAGCGACACCCCGGCCGGAUCUCCUUGCGGAUGGAACCCGAAUAGGCGAUAAACCUGGACGAGAGACUUGUGUGGUUAGUCAGGUCGUGGCCGACACCCUCGCUGGGCUUCCGCUUUGUCACAUCCCUAGCUUCUGGUGCUGCCUAGUGUUUGCAUCAUGUUUAAAUUUUUUAAACUUGAACUGAGGAAAUUUGGAAGCCUCAAAACUUAAAUAAAAGAAGGGCAAAAACCCUAAAAUCUCAUUCAUUGUUCCAAAAUGCUCUUCUUAAAUGUUUGAUAAUUUUGGCAAAGGGUUCUGGUCCCAACCAAAAUAUUGAACAUUUUUAAGGACUUAAUCUUGGGACUUUGAAUUUAAAUCAUUAGCUAUUUGAAUUUGAAUUAUAUUCAUAUAAUUAGAAUAUAAUUUCAAAUACCCCUGAAAUAUUUUAUGAGCUUUUGGAAAAGUCCAUCUAGCAAAAUAAAAAUAUUCAGAGGAGUUUUUGGCAUUGUUUGAAUUAUUUUAAAUUCAAAACAGUGGCAAAAUAAAUUUAAAAAUAAAACAAACAGAAAAUAAACAGAGCACAUACCUGGCCACUUACCUGGCCUUACCUGGUAGCCCACCAGCAGCCCAGUCCACCAGAGCCGGCCCAGCCAACGUAGCAACGGGCAGGUUUGUCUUCAACCCCUCGCCAGGAGGACAAGUCGUGGCAGAGCGCGCGUCGCCGGUCGCCACCUCCUGCUUCGACGUGUCCCAGCCGCCCCCGACCUCUCCAGUGCACCGUUGGAACGCCCUCGACCCCCUCGACCGCUAUCCCUUCUCUCUGCUCGCUCUAGCUCUCUCCCUCUCUCGAUUUGGAGCACCACCGAGAGCCACCGGAGGGCGCCGCCGUCGCAUCCAUAGCCACCGGCCACCCCUCGCCCUUCCGCUGAGCUCAGGAGCUCCGCCUCGACCCCCUCUUCCUCCCCACCGAGCCAAGCCCCUCGGGAAGCUCUGCAUCGCCUCCAUGCCAUCGUCUUCGUCCUCGACCGUUGCUGAUGGUCGCCGCCGAUUCGCCGUCACCCGUGCUUCCCGAGCUCGUCGAUGACCCCACCCGAUGCGCUGUGAGAUCCUCCGUCUUUCCCCCUCCUCCCCGAGCUCGUUCCUGUCCUCUAGCUAUGCCAGCCGUCGUACCCGAGCGCCGCCGUCCGCCAUGGUCGUUGCUCUCGCAGCCAUCGUGCGUCUCCGCUCGAGCUUGAGCCUUCGGCGUGCUCCUGGAGCAACGACGAGUCCAACGGAACCCCUAACUAGCUCCCCCAUGCACUGGAACCACGCGGCCGCCCAUGCCCGAACUCCGGCCACCGCAUCACUCAAUGUCGUGCUCAACUCCGGCCACCCCAGCCUCUGCCACCGCCACCGUUGGAUGCGCCACUCCACCCUCUCCCCGUAGCUGCUCCCUGCGCGCCAAAAGAGCCCAUGUAGGUGGUUCCCGACGUGCACCGCCGCGUCUGGCCUCGCCGGCGUCAUGACGCCGGCAGGUUUGACCGUUGACCUUGACCGAGUGGGCCUAGGUUGACUCCCCCUGGGUCUAUGACAAGUGGGGCCCGCUCUGCUAAUUAACUCAGGUUAGCACUAACUAAUAUUAGUUAGUUGAACUAACUACUGACACGCAGGGCCCACAGGUCAGUUUGACCUGGACCAGGCCGUUGACCUGCUGACGUCACUAUGAGGUCAUGCUGACGCAAUAAUUCCUUUCUGGAAUUUAAAUAAAUCUUAAAUGAUUUAUUAUUUUCAGAAAAUGUCCUAAACUUCUAAAAAUCAUAGAAAAUCAACCGUAACUCCAAAUGAAAUAAUUUAUAUAUGAAAAAUGGUCAGAAAAAAUCCAAUCUAUCCAUCUGUACCAUUUUCAUGCAUGUUAGAACAACUUAUAGCUGCUGAUUAGCACAAAUCAUAUAAAUGACAUUCUAAUAUCCACAUAUGGAGGUUGAAUUUGAAUCUUGGAUUCAAACCAACUUCAUUUAAUCUGGGUUUAGCUGCAUCAGCACAAAUCAACAGCAUAUUGCCAUGUCACAUUCAUGCAUCAUAUUGUGCAUUGCAUUGAUUGUGCUCUUCCUUGUUUGCCGGUGAUUGCCCCCUCUCGAUAGACGCGUUUCGACGAUGUGAUCGAUGACACCAAUGAAGAGCUAUAUUAUCUUCAGAAGUGCCAGGCAAGCAAAACCCCCUUGUUCAUUCCGAUACAACCCUACUCUCUCGCUCCUGCUCUCUUUUACUGCAUUAGGACAACACCGAUUCAUCUGUUACUUGUUGCGGUAGCUGAACCCCUUUAUCCUUUGCAUGACCUGUCAUUGCCACAGUAAAUAGAUGAAACCCACUAGCAUGAGUAGGAGUUGUUUGAGCCCUGUUGUGCCUACUCAUUCAUGCUUGUUUGUCAUGCCUGCUACUGCUUAGAGUUGAGUCAGGUCUGAUUCAUCGGGGAUGAAUCGGAGGUGUGUGAACAUGUCCUACCAUUGAGAGCUAAGUGUGUGCACACGAUUUGGUAAAGGUAGCGGUGAGAGGCCAUGUAGGAGUACAUGGUGGGUUGUCUCAUUGCAGCCGUCUUCAGGAACUGAGUUCUGUGUUUGUGAUCCAUGACCAGUUACUACCACACAUUGGGUUCCGGUAACUCGAUCCCUCUCGACUUAUUAAUCAACAUGAUCUCUGUCCAGGAGUUCCAACUAGUUUCUGGUGUUUUUAGGUAGUGUUAGUAGUCUACCAAGUGGCACCCGGUACAGGUGGGCUUGGGACAGACUAGGCACAGUGGCCCGGUGUACCAAGUAGCACCCGGAUGGUGGGCUUGGGAACCCUGCACACAUCGUUUGGGGCCGUGAGCGACACCCCGGCCGGAUCUCCUUGCGGAUGGAACCCGAAUAGGCGAUAAACCUGGAUGAGAGACUUGUGUGGUUAGUCAGGUCAUGGCCGACUCCCUCGCCAGGCUUCCGCUUGAAGGUUGCCGAGAUACACGAGGUGUACAUGGCGGUAAGUGGCGAGAGCGUGUGUGAAGAAGUACACCUCUGCAGGGUUAAUAUGAUCUAUUCGAAUAGCCGUGUCCGCGGUAAAGGACUUCUGGGUUGCCUGUACAGUUCAUAGACAAGUGAAAGUGGAUACUCUAAAAUACGCAAGAUAAGCGUGAGUGCUAUGGAUGGCGUUCUCGUAGGGAGACGAGAGCGGAUCCAUAGUGGUGUAUUGAUAUGGUGAAUAUGUGGACUCGUGUGCGCCACCUCAAAAGAGUUACUUGCAGUCGUAGUUCAGGAUAGCCACCGAGUCAAAGCUGGCUUGCUGCAGUUAAACUCCACCACACCCUUUGUUGAUAAUGAUGCAUAUGUAGUUAGAUCUGAUGUAAGUCUUGCUGGGUACAUUUGUACUCACGUUGCUUAAUUUAUGUUUUUGCAGAGAGACUUCAGUCUCGCUAGUAAUACCGCGUGGACUUCGACGUUUAGCUUGUUACCUCAGCUACGAUCUUGUGCCCUCGGCAGGAUCUGGUAGGUAGUCAGGCUUCUCAGCCUUUUUCAUUUGUAGAUGUCUGUACUCAGACAUGUUAAGCUUCCGCAUGUGUUUGGACUUGUAUGCUCUGAUUGUUGGGUCAUGAGACCCAUGUUUGUAAUAUCUUGCUCCUCAGAGCCUAUUGAAUAAAUACUUGAGUUGUAGAGUCUUGUUGUGAUGCCAUGUUGUAUUUGCACAUAUCGAGCAUAUUGUGUGUAUGUUAUUGAAAUGCUUGGUAUGUGCGGGAUCUGACUAUCUAGUUGUUUAUCCUUAGUAGCCUCUCUUACCGGGAAAUGUCUCCUAGUGUUUCCACUGAGCCAUGGUAGCCUACUACUGCUCCGGAACACUUAGGCUGGCCGGCAUGUGUCCUUCUUCGUUCCUGUGUCUGUCCCCUCGGGGAAAUGUCACGCGAUGAAUUCCGGAGUCCUGUUAGCCCGCUACAGCCCGGUUCACCGGAGUCCUGCUAGCCCAGUUGCUACAGCCUGGAUUCACUCGCUAAUGACCGACAGGUUCGAUGCUGGGUCAUGGAUGCCUGUCCCUGUAAGUUAGUGCCACUUUGGGUUCACGACUAGCCAUGUCAGCCCGGGUUCUUUGUCAUAUAGAUUCUAGCGGCACUAUCAUAUACGUGAGCCAAAAGCGCAAACGGUCCCAGGCCAGGUAAGGUGGCACCCGUGGGAAUACCGUGCGUGAGGCCGCAAAGUGAUAUGAUGUGUUACAUGCUAGAUCGGUGUGACUUAGGAUCGGGGUCCUGACACGCUUGAAGGUUGCCGAGUACAUGUCGUGUAAACGGCGGUAAGUGGUGAGAGCGUGUGUGAAGAAGUACACCCCUGCAGGGUUAAUAUGAUCUAUUCGAAUAGCCGUGUCCACGGUAAAGGACUUCUGGGUUGCCUGUAUAGUUCAUAGACAAGUGAAAGUGGAUACUCUAAAAUACACAAGAUAAGCGUGAGUGCUAUGGAUGGCGUUCUCGUAGGGAGACGGGAGCGGAUCCAUAGUGGUGUAUUGAUAUGGUGAAUAUGUGGACUCAUGUGCGCCACCUCAAAAGAGUUACUUGCAGUCGUAGUUCAGCUUACCCACUGAGUCAAAGCUGGCUUGCUACAGUUAAACCCCACCAUCUCCUUUGUUGAUACUGAUGCAUAUGUAGUUAGUUCUGAUGUAAGUCUUGCUGGGUACAUUUGUACUCACGUUGCUUAAUUUAUGUUUUUGCAGAGAGACUUCAGUCUCGCUAGUAGUACUGCGUGGACUUCGACGUUUAGCUUGUUACCUCAGCUACGAUCUUGUGCCCUUGGCAGGAUCUGAUAGACAGUCAGGCUUCUCAGCCUUUUUCAUUUGUAGAUGUCUGUACUCAGACAUGUUAAGCUUCCGCUUGUGCUUUGACUUGUAUGCUCUGAGUGUUGGGUCAUGAGACCCAUGUUUGUAAUAUCUCGCUCCUUGGAGCCUAUUGAAUAAAUACUUGAGUCGUAGAGUCAUGUUGUGAUGCCAUGUUGUAUUUGCACAUAUCGAGCAUAUUGUGUGUAUGUUAUUGAAAUGCUUGGUAUGUGUGGGAUCUGACUAUCUAGUUGUUUAUCCUUAGUAGCCUCUCUUACCGGGAAAUGUCUCCUAGUGCUUCCACUGAGCCAUGGUAGCUUGCUACUGCUCCGGAACACUUAGGCUGGCCGACAUGUGUCCCUCUUCAUUCCUGUGUCUGUCCCUUCAGGGAAAUGUCACGUGAUGAAUACCGGAGUCCUGUUAGUCUGCUACAGCCCGGUUUACCGGAGUCCUGCUAGCCCAGUUGCUACAGCCUGGAUUCACUCGCUGGUGACCGACACGUUCGUUGUUGGGUCAUGUAUGCCUGUCCCUGUAAGUUAGUGUCACUUUGGGUUCACGACUAGCCAUGUCAGCCCGGGUUCUUUGUCAGAUGGAUGCUAGCGGCACUAUCAUAUACGUGAGCCAAAAGGCGCAAACGGUGCCAGGCCAGGUAAGGUGGCACCCGUGGGAAUACCGUGCGUGAGGCCGCAAAGUGAUAUGAUGUGUUACAUGCUAGAUCGGUGUGACUCAGGAUCGGUGUCCUGACAGCUUUGGUAUCAGAGCCUGACUGCCUGUAGGAUUACCAAGCCAAACUGGUCGAAGUUGAGUCUAGAAAAUCUUUAGUUAUAUAAGAGAAUUGAUUGUGGGAUGGAACGUAAGGCUCUUUUACUCCUUAUACCUCAUGCCCUUCUGAUCCGAGUCAUCUUAUCCAUCCUACGGGGUUAAGGAACUAGGCUUUCUCUUCUUUCUAUCAGGAUCACGUGUUACUAAUCAGUAGACUCAUAAGAUUGUUGGAUUUAAGCCUUAGUUCAGUUUCCACCUGUGUAUGUUAACUGUUGAUCUCGAAAUCUUGAUAUUGUGAUGAUCGAGUGGUUAUGCCACCAUUUUGUAGGAUGUCUCCAAUCUUUUUGAGCAUUUACAGCCGUUAUGCUGUCCGAGUCAUCCCAGGGUUCUAAACAGUUUGAUGCAUUUGCAAAUUCCUUCUUCCCGUUCCCAAUGUCCUCUCUGGCCAGGUUAAGCACACUAGACGGUGAGUUGAGGUACUCUAUUGCCUCCUCAUUUAUGUUGGAGUUAUUAUUAUGACCCUAGGUGUCUCAGGGGAUCAUCUAGUAGUCUAGCCAUGUUUUGUGUUCCCAGUGUGAUCAUUCUGGCCAUCAUCCUCGAAAGCAUCCCGUGAUGCCACUUAGUUAGUAGGCAUUUCACUUCUGGGUUUUGAACCCGAGAUUCACCCUACUUACUUCAUGUUGAUAGUAAUUGCUAGCUCCCUUAGGUUAUUAGUAACCUUUGCGAUAGUCCUCGAAGUUCGUGGUAUUUCCUUUUUCCAAAUACUAUGAACCACUUUAUGGCAGAAGUUUGUUGGAUCAAAAGAUCACAACAGGAAUAUCCUCAAUGAGUUCUCCAUUAUAUAUUGUGGCUCUGCCAGUUCUACCUUUCUGCAUGGGUUAUCCGGAAGAAAUAUGUUGAACUUCGUUCAACAUGCUAAACCAUGCAUCCACAACUCAGAAAAUCGUAUGUUCCUUUGAGUUGUCCCUCUUUAGUUGUCUUCUGACCCUCAUCUAUCAAUUGAUAGUCAAGAGUAUGUGUGCAUUCGUUCAUCGAUGCCUAUUACUCUUGUGGUCCAUCAAGCCAUUCUAUUCCAGAGUGACUAGGAGAAACAAACUCCAGUACCCUUUUCCAUUUCCAGGAUUGGGUCAAAGCAGUUGUGUUCCGCAGAUCAAGUUGCAAUCCAGCUUCUGGUCUGUUCUACCUUGAGGUAUUACCAUUUUUAUAUCAAGAAUAUCAUUGGAAUUGCACACCCUCUUAUGAAUUCUUGUUGCAGUGAUACUUCUCGCCAUCAUUAUUCAUUUCUCGACUUCCAUGUUGUUGCAACCGGAAUGCCGACGGAUGAACUAUGAUGUGUGAAAUCAAUACCCCUAGCAACUAGUUGCUUGGUAGUAAAUGGACAAUAUUCUCAUUCUUAGCAUGUUGGUUAUUGAAUCAUCAUUCUAAGAUAGAUUGUGCUACCUAGUCCUUAUUUCCUGGUGCACUCUUUGAUUGAUGAGUUAGGAUUUUGUCAAAUCCUCGCUCAUUUGAUCAUAUCGUCUUGCCCUAAAAAGCAAGAUUGUUCUCGAGCUUAGUGACAUAUCGGUGGUUCGUGAUUUUCCGUAUAUCUUCUCGGAAGUAUUACCAGGUUGUCACCUGCCCGCUAUGUUGAGUUCAUGAUCAAGUUGGUUUAUUCCUGUAAAUCACCCUUUCUCCAAGAAUCCGUGUUGGAUACCCCUAAGCUAGUUGGUUAAGCUAAACGACAACUUGGAGAGUGGAAGAUAAAAGCUUACCUAACUUAGUUCGUUUCAAAGGGAUAUCCUGGUGUUGGUGUGUUAGUUGAGGAAAGAUGAUAUCUUCAUCGAUUGGUCCCUGUGAUCAGUUAUUGGACCUAUUGUCUUAUAAAAACUUUGAUUUGAGUAUGGGCUAUCGUCAAAUCAAAUCAGAACCAACGAUGUUCAUAAUGUUGUCUUACUCAUGGCUGUCCCUCGAGCGUACACCAUUAUAUCUUUUGGUCUGACCAAUAUUAUCACCUUGUUCACAUAAUGGCGGAAUUCCAAUGAUAUGGAAAUUCUGAUGGGUUGUUGUUGAGCCCAUCAGCAGCAUUUUGUCUCCUCCAUGAUUCAUGUUGAACAUUGAGCUAGUGUUGGAAACUUUAUAAGCAUUAUCUUCAUGUCCCGUGCAUGAAGCAUAUGUUCGGAUGAAAGAAGUGACUCCCUUUAAUUCAUGUGCAUCUGAUGCAAGUUGUCGUCUGAAUUCAAGGAAGUCAAUGUUUGUUUCCUUUGGAAUCAUCCCAAGUUAGUCACACAUGUGCAAAGUAUACUAUGGUUUGGUAGAUUAAUACCUCCACUCCAUAUGUAUUCUGUAGCACCUCAAGCCACUGAUUGAUUUGUUCAAGGAGAAGAAGUUCCUUCAUAAGAGCUAAUCAUAUGACUUAUGCAAGGACUCCGUUAUCCGCGAUGAUGGUUCCCUACUAGAACUCGGUAGUGUUUUUAUUAUAAGACUACCAUGUGAUCAUGUUCGUCUGGGACAGCGUGUUCACACGUGUGUAGCAGAACCAGCUCAUGUUUUGGAGCUUGCUAUCGUAGUUCAUUUCCCGAGAAUCUUGCAACGUCAUCUCGUCGAAUUGUGUUGCAAACUUUCAUUUUUCUUCCUAGACUCGAUGAGUCUGGAAUAUCCUGACACCAACCAGAUCUGAAUCUCAGGCAGACAUGAUGGUUGGAACAUUUCCCAGGAACUAUAAUAUUGGUCCCUCGAUAACCGGUAAAGUGGAUGUCGUGGCCAGCACCACCCAGCUGAAAGACCUAUUAUCGUAGUAUCUUGUUUGAGGAAGUUGGCCACCUCCCCUUAAGGAUUUCGUAGGAUCUACUCCCUAGUUGUUCCUUAUGGAUUUUUGUGUUCCCGAAGUCCGACCUUUUACUUGAUGUUCUAGAUAUCAAACCAUAAUUAUUUGUGGAUUACACUAGCGCAUCAAGGAGAACAUUAGAAGCGGAGUGCUAAAAUGUCUCUCGGUCGAUCAUCCAGAUUUUGUUUCUAGGGCCUCGCUAAGGUGAAAUCUGAGAAGCUGUUAUCUUCCUAUGCAUCUGCAUCGUCCAUCACUAGCCAUCAUGGUAGUAUGUUGUGUUGCCAGGAUCCUUGACACGGAUAUUGGUAAAACCUUGAUGGAUAUGGAAAUGCCCAAGUUCUUGAGAGCACGCACAAGCUCUAGGUUUUAUCACCGGCACUAACUGGGAUUGCUCUCAGUUUCCUCGGUUAGGCUAUAACUUUUCAAACAGUGGACCCACUCUCUACUGUUGAGCUUCUCCCCAGUUACUAAAAUCAUCCCUUGUGUUGUUUUCAACAAGGUAAUCCACAUCAUCCAUUCUAAUCCAGGUAUGCCAUUCUACCGAACCCCUCCAAAUGAUCAAUUAUGAAUUGCCUUAGGCUGGUAUAAAGAGUUCCAAUGAUCUCUAUUUCAAAGGUAAUUCUUUUUGCCACUUAAGGGGAUAUAUCUACGAGUCACGGUCCCUAAGGUGUCCCGCUGUGGCAUCAUGGCAACUCAACUCCUCGCUACGUUGACAACCAUUCACCACCCUUUUAAGCGUGGAAUUGUUGUCUACCUAGUGAACCCUUGUUAUUUGUUCCACUCCAUCCCUCUAGAUGUGUGUUUUGUGUCUCAGCUCGAGUGGUGUUGCUAUGCCUCAUUCCGCGAGUUGAUCCUAAGUUGUUCGAUCUUUGAGAAGAUUGAUCCUUCUAGAGUCUCCUUCUCCUCUCGUUGUCAUGUUGGCUGGAGUUCUCAGAGCAAGACGACAAGACAAAGAUGGUGAUUGAAUCAACGUUCAUUUGAAGUGCAACCUGGAUCGGGAAGAUUUCGUUAGUUGCAUUUUUCCCCUUCAUCUUACCCUACGGCUGAAUCUUGGGACGAGAUUCUUGUUUAGUGGGGGUGAGUUGUCACAUCCCUAGCUUCUGGUGCUGCCUAGUGUUUGCAUCUUGCUUGCAUCAUGUUUAAUUUUCAUGGAAUUUGAAAUGGGGAUGUUCAAACCCUAGCAUCAAAAGGAAUUCAAAUAGGUUCAACCAAAAUAUUUUUCAAUGAUUUCAAAAUGCCCUUUAAAAAUAUUCAUCAUUUCUGGAUCAAGGUGGAAGCAUCUACCAAAAAUGGUUCACAUUUUUGCAGGACAUGUUAGGACUUUGAAUUAAUUUAAACAUAUUUGAAUUGGAGCUAUUUAAAUGCUAUAUAUAUUUUACAUGCUCCAAAAAUGUUGGAAAUUGUUAAGGGUCACUGGAAUAAUUCAGAAAGCACCCAUAAUUAUUUCCAGGAUUUUAUGAAAUGAAUUAUUAUUUUACUAAUUCAAAACAGAGGAAUAAAAUAGAAAACUGAAACAAAAUAAAGGAGAGAGAGAAACCCACUUGCGCCUCACCUGUGCUGGCCCAGCCCACCUGGCCAGUCCACUUGGCGGCCCAGCCCACCAGGGGCACCGCUGUCUUCAACCUCUGCCUACUGGCAGAGGCGUGUCGACGCGCCCGUGCCCGGGCCUCCACCUCCUGCUUCAUGCUGGCGGCCUCUCCUUCGGGCCUAUCCGCGCCUGGAGACGCCCAGCACCCCCUCGCCCACUCCCCGCCUCUCUGGCCUCUCCCCACCGCUCCGGCUCUCUCUCCCGCAGCCGCCCGAACACACCCGCAGCGCGCAGCUCACCGCCGUCGUGCCCACUGGCCUCCCCUCGCCUCCCCACUUGUCUGGAAGCUCCGCGCUCGUCACGUACAUCGUCUCCGUCAACACACACGACGCCGGGAGCCCUGUAGUGACGCCAUCAUUGUCGUCUUCACCAACGGGCACCGAAGAUCGCCGGCUCCGAUUCACCAUCUCCAAGUCGUCCCCGAGCUCGCUGACCAUCUCCUCUGCCUCCCUGUGAGCUCCUGCACCUCUCACCCCUCUUCCCGUCAGCGUUUUUCUCCUCUAGCCACCGCCCUAUGAGCAACCGGGGCCUCCGUCCGCCAUGGCCGCGAGCCCGCGCUCCCGAGCUUCCCCUGCUUGCCCCCGUGGCACAGGUGUGAUUAUGCCGCCCCUAGAUACCUCUUGUGCCACCCCGUUCACCGUACGCGAGCUGCAGCCCUAUGCCCACUGGAACCCGAGCCCCGCCGCCGCUUGACCUCAUCGCCGAGCCCAACUCCGGCAACCCUAGGACCUCCCUCCACCUCCAUUGGAUGUGGCCGAGUGCCAGCUUUCCAACCGUACCGCCCGCGGCCCAAACGGUCUCCUGUAGAUGAAACCCGACCCACUCCGGUGAACAUCCACCGCGCUCUUCGUCGCCGCCGGCUGAACUCCGGCGACUGCCGACGUGGCCGUGAUUAGGGCCUAAACACACCACUAACCAACCCCCUGGGCCACUGACGCGUGGGCCCCACGCCCUAACUAAUCCCAGUUUUGUUUCUGUUUAGGUUAGUUUAAAACCAAGCGGGACCCACAUGCCUGAGUUAACCCGGCUAACGUGGCCGUUGACUGGUCCCACACGUUAGUGACCCUAACCAGCACCGUGACACUGACCAGUGGGACCCCUGGUCAGGUUUGACCCGGAUCAGCCUCUUUGACCUGCUGACGUCAUGCUUACACAUUGCUGAUGCAGUUAAGGAAUUUCUGGAUUAAAUAUAAUUCAGUAAAUUCAAGAAAAUGUCCUAAACUUCUAAAAAUCAUAAGAAUUCAACCGUAACUCCAAAUGAAAUAAUUUAUAUAUGAAAAAUGAUCAGAAAAAUCCAAUCUAUCCAUCUGUACCAUUUUCAUGCAUAUUAGAACAACUUUUGUUCAUUGUUAGGUCAAAUCAUAUAAAUGGCAUUUGAAUUUCACAUAUGGAGUUUGGAUUUGAACUUAGGGUUCAAACCAACUUCAUUUAACUUUGUUGCUAGCUGCAUUAGCUCAAAACACCAGCAUGUUGCCAUGUCAUGAUCAUGCAUCAUAAUGUGCAUUGCAUUGAUUGUGUUUCUUCUCUGUUGCCGGUAAUUGUUCCCUCUUAGUAGACGUGUUUCCGACAAUGAGAUCGAUGACACCGAUGAAGAACUAUACUAUCUUCAGAAGUGCCAGGCAAGCAAAACCCCGUUGUUCAUUCCGAUACAAUCCCACUCUCUCGCUCCUGCUCUCUUUUACUGCAUUAGGACAACAACGAUUUAUCUGUUACUUGCUGCGGUAGCUGAACCCCUUUAUCCUCUGCAUGACCUGUCAUUGCCACCGUAAAUAGAUGAAACCCACUAGCAUGAGUAGGAGUUGUUUGAGCCCUGAUGUGCCUACUCAUUCAUGCUUGUUUGUCAUGCCUGCUAUUGCUUAGAGUUGUGUCAGGUCUGAUUCAUCCGGGAUGAAUUGGAAUGUGGUGAACAUGUCCUACUGUUGAGAGCUAAGUGUGUGAACACGAUUUGGUAAAGGUAGCGGUGAGAGGCCAUGUAGGAGUACAUGGUGGGUUGUCUCAUUGCAGCCGUCCUAGGAACUGAGUUCUGUGUUUGUGAUCCAUGAACAGUUACUACCACACAUUGGGCUCCGGGCGCUCCUAGCUCUCUCGACUUAUUAAUCAACUUGAUCUCUGUCCAGGAGUUGCAACUAGUUUCUGGUGUUUGUAGGUAGUGUUAGUAGUCUACCAAGUGGCACCCGGUACAGGUGGGCUUGGGACAGACUAGGCAUAGUGGCACGGUGUACCAAGUGGCACCCGGAUGGUGGGCUUGGGAACCCUGCUCACAUCGUUUGGGGCCGUGAGCGACACCCCGGCCGGAUCUCCUUGCGUAUGGAACCCGAAUAGGCGAUAAACCUGGAUGAGAGACUUGUGUGGUUAGUCAGGUCGUGGCCGACACCCUCGCUGGGCUUCCGCUUGAAGGUUGCCGAGUACAUGUCGUGUAAACGGCUGUAAGUGGUGAGAGCGUGUGUGAAGAAGUACACCCCUGCAGGGUUAAUAUGAUCUAUUCGAAUAGCCGUGUCCACGGUAAAGGACUUCUGGGUUGCCUGUACAGUUCAUAGACAAGUGAAAGUGGAUACUCUAAAAUACGCAAGAUAAGCGUGAGUGCUAUGGAUGGCGUUCUCGUAGGGAGACGGGAGCGGAUCCAUAGUGGUGUAUUGAUAUGGUGAAUAUGUGGACUCGUGUGCGCCACCUCAAAAGAGUUACUUGAAGUCGUAGUUCAGGUUAGCCACUGAGUCAAAGCUGGCUUGCUGCAGUUAAACCCCACCAUCCCCUUUGUUGAUACUGAUGCAUAUGUAGUUAGUUCUGAUGUAAGUCUUGCUGGGUACAUUUGUACUCACAUUGCUUAAUUUAUGUUUUUGCAGAGAGACUUCAGUCUCGCUAGUAGUACUGCAUGGACUUCGAUGUUUAGCUUGUUACCUCAGCUACGAUCUUGUGCCCUCGGCAGGAUCUGAUAGACAGUCAGGCUUCUCAGCCUUUUUCAUUUGCAGAUGUCUAUACUCAGACAUGUUAAGCUUCCGCUUGUGCUUUGACUUGUAUGCUCUGAGUGUUGGGCAUGAGACCCAUGUUUGUAAUAUCUCGCUCCUCGGAGCCUAUUGAAUAAAUACUUGAGUCAUAGAGUCAUGUUGUGAUGCCAUGUUGUAUUUGCACAUAUCGAGCAUAUUGUGUGUAUGUUAUUGAAAUGCUUGGUAUGUGUGGGAUCUGACUAUCUAGUUGUUUAUCCUUAGUAGCCUCUCUUACCGGGAAAUGUCUCCUAGUGCUUCCACUGAGCCAUGGUAGCUUGCUACUGCUCCGGAACACUUAGGCUGGCCGGCAUCUGGCCCUCUUCGUUCCUGUGUCUGUCCCUUCGGGGAAAUGUCACGCGAUGAAUACCGGAGUCCUGUUAGUCUGCUACAGCCCGGUUUACCGGAGUCCUGCUAGCCCAGUUGCUACAGCCCGGAUUCACUCGCUGGUGACCGACACAUUCGUUGUUGGGUCAUGUAUGCCUGUCCCUGUAAGUUAGUGCCACUUUGGGUUCACGACUAGCCAUGUCAGCCCGGGUUCUUUGUCAUAUGUAUGCUAGCGGCACUAUCAUAUACGUGAGCCAAAAGGCGCAAACGGUCCCGGGCCAGGUAAGGUGGCACCCGUGGGAAUACCGUGCGUGAGGCCGCAAAGUGAUAUGAUGUGUUACAUGCUAGAUUGGUGUGACUCAGGAUCGGGGUCCUGACACAACUUUCCACCGUUCCGUUCAUCAUUAUCAUGACAUACAUUACUUUUGUCAUAUUGCCAUUGCGUGAUCAUGUAGUUGACAUCGUAUAUGUGGCAAAGCCACCAUGCAUAAUUUUUCAUACAUGUCACUCUUGAUUCAUUGCACCAUCCCGGUACACCGCCGGAAGCAUUCAUAUAGAGUCAUAUCUUGUUCUAGUUUCGAGUUGUAAUUCAUAUCUUGUAAUCAAUUAAAGUGUGAUGAUCAUCAUUAUUAGAGCAUUGCCCAAAAAUAAAAUAAAGAAAGGCCAAAAGAAAAAAAGAAAGGCCAAAGAAAAAAAGAAAAAAAAUUGGAAAAAGAAAAAAAAGAAGAAGAAAAAGAAAAAAAAGAAAAAAAAGAAAAAAUAAAAUAAAUAAAAGGGACAAUGUUACUAUCUCUUUUUUCACACUUGUGCUUCAAAGUAGCACCUUGUCCUUCAUAUAGCGAGUCUCAUAUAUCUUGUGCUUCAAAGUAGCACCAUGUUUUUCAUAUAGUGAGUCUCAUAUGUUGUCACUUUCAUAUGCAAGUGAGAAUUUUUCAUUAUAGAACUCGGCUUGUAUAUUCCUACGAUGGGCUUCCUCAAAUGCCCUAGGUCUUCGUGAGCAAGUUGGAUGCACACCCACUAGUUUUCUUUUGUUGAGCAUUCAUUUAUAGCUCUAGUGCAUCCGUUGCAUGGCAAUCCCUACUACUCAUGUUGACAUCAAUUGAUGGGCAUCUCUAUAGCCCGUUGAUUAUCCUCAUCGAUGUGAGACUUUCUCCUUUUUAUGUCUUCUCCACACAAUCCCCAUCAUCAUAUUCUAUUCCACCCAUAGUGCUAUAUCCAUGGCUCACGCUCAUGUAUUGCAUGAAGGUUGAAAAAGUUUGAGAUUAUUUAAGUAUGAAACAAUUUCUUGGCUUGUCAUCAGGGGUGUAGAAUUUGGGAACAUCUUUGUGUAACGAAAGUGAAGCAUAGCCUAACUAUAUGAUUUUGUAGGGAUGAACUUUCUUUAGCCAUGUUAUUUUGAGAAGACAUGAUUGCUUUGAUUAGUAUGCUUGAAGUGCUACUAUUUCUUUUAUCAAUAUGAACUUUUAUUUUGAAUCAUUUGGAUCUGAACGUUCAUUCCACAAUAAAGAAAAUUACAUUGAGAAUUAUGCUAGGUAGCAUUCCACAUCAAAAAUUCUGUUUUUAUCAUUUACCUACUCGAGGACGAGCAGGAAUUAAGCUUGGGGAUGCUUGAUACGUCUCCAACGUAUCUAUAAUUUUUAAUUGUUCCAUGCUAUCAUAUUACCCCUUUUGGAUGUUUGUGGGCUUUAUUUUACACAUUUAUAUCAUUUUUGGAACUAACCUACUAACCGGAGGCCCAACACGUAUUGUUGUUUUUUGCCUAUUUCAAUAUUUCGAAGAAAAGGAAUAUCAAACGGAGUCCAAACGGAAUGAAACCUUCAGGAGCGUGAUUUUUGGAACGAACGUGAUCCAGAGGACUUGGAGUGCAAGUCAAGAAGCAAUCGAGGCGGAUAGGAGAUAGGAGGGCGCGCCCCCUGUCUCCUGGGCCCCUCGAGCGGCCACCGACGUACUUCUUCCUCCUAUAUAUACCUACAUACCCUGAAAACAUGCAGGGAGCCACCGAAACAUAAUUUCCACCGUCGUAACCUUCUGUAUCCGCGAGAUCCCAUCUUGGAGCCUUUGUCGACGCUCCACCAGAGGGGGAAUCGACCAUGGAGGGCUUCUACAUCAAGACCAUAGCCCCUCCGAUGAGUUGUGAGUAGUUUACCACAGACCUUCUGGUCCAUAGUUAUUAGCUAGAUGGCUUCUUCUCUAUUUUUGGAUCUCAAUACAAUGUUCUCCCCCUCUCAUGUGGAGAUCUAUUCGAUGUAAACUCUUUUUGCGGUGUGUUUGUCGAGAUCCGAUGAAUUGUGGGUUUAUGAUCAAGUUUAUCUAUGAGAAAUAUUUGAAUCUUCUCUGAAUUCUUUUAUGUAUGAUUGAGUUAUCUUUGCAAGUCUCUUUGAAUUAUCAGUUUGGUUUGGCCUACUAGAUUGAUCUUUCUUGCCAUGGGAGAAGUGCUUAGCUGUGGGUUCAAUCUUGCGGUGUCCUUACCAAGUGACAGAAAGGGUUGCAAGGCACGUAUUGUAUUGUUGCCAUCGAGGAUAAAAAGAUGGGGUUUAUAUCAUAUUGCUUGAGUUUAUCCCUCUACAUCAUGUCAUCUUUCUUAAUGUGUUACUCUGUUCUUAUGAACUUAAUACUCUAGAUGCAUGCUAGAUAGCGGUCGAUGUGUGGAGUAAUAGUAGUAGAUGCAGGCAGGAGUCGGUCUACUUGUUGCGGACGUGAUGCCUAUAUACAUGAUCAUGCCUAGAUAAUCUCAUAAUUAUUCGCUUUUCUAUCAAUUGCUCGAUAGUAAUUUGUUCACCCACCGUAAUACUUAUGCUAUCUUGAGAGAAGCCUCUAGUGAAACCUAUGGCCCCCGGGUCUAUCUUUUAUCAUAUAAGCUUUCAAUCUACUUUUAUUUGCCUCUUUACUUUUGCAUCUAUAUUAUAAAAUACCAAAAAUAUAUUUAUCUUAUCAUACUAUCUCUAUUAGAUUUCACUUUCGCAAGUGGCCGUGAAGGGAUUGACUACCCCUUUAUUGCGUUGAUUGUGAGUUCUUUGUUUGAUUGUGUAGGUGCGUGGGACUUUUGAGGAGCCUCCUACUGGAUUAAUACCUUGGUUCUCAAAAACUGAGGGAAAUACUUACGCUACUAUUGCUGCAUCACCCUUUCCUCUUGAAGGAAAACCAACACAAUCUCAAGACGUAGCAACCCUCAGCCUCGAUGGUGGAUGAUACGUCUCUAACGUAUCUAUAAUUUUUUAUUGUUCGAUGCUAUUAUAUUAUCUGUUUUGGAUGUUUUAUAUGCAUUAAUAUGAUAUUUUAUAUUGUUUUGGGGACUAACCUAUUUACCUAGAGCCUAGUGUUAGUUUCUGUUAUUUUUGCUUGUAUUAGAGUUUCGCAGAAAAGGAAUACCAAACAGAGUCCAAACGGGAUGAAACUUUUGGGAUGAUCUUUCUUGGACCAGAAGCAAACCAGGAGACUUGGAGAUGAAGUCGGAGACUCAACGAGGCGGCCACGAGGGUGGAGGGCGUGCCCAGGGGGGUAGGGCUCGCCCCCUACCUCAUGGGCCCCUCGGAGCUCUGUUGACCUAAUUAUUUCGCCCAUAUAUACUCGUAUACCCCAAAACCAUCAGGGGGAGCCAUGAAAAUACUUUUCCACCGCCGCAACCUUCUGUACCCAUGAGAUCCCAUCUAGGGGCCUAUUUUGGCGUCCAACCGGAGGGGGAUUCAAUCACGGAGGGCUUCUACAUCAACACCAUUACCCUUCCGAUGAAGUGUGAGUAGUUUACCACAGACCUACGGGUCCAUAGCUUCUUCUCUCUCUUUGAUUCUCAAUACCAUGUUCUCCUCGAUGUUCUUAGAGAUCUAUUUGAUGUAAUAUUCUUUUGCAGUGUGUUUGCCGAGAUCCCAUGAAUUGUCGAUUUAUGAUCAGAUUAUCUAUGAAUAUUAUUUGAGUCUUCUCUAAAUUCUUAUAUGCAUGAUUUGAUAUCUUUGCAAGUCUCUUCGAAUUAUCGGUUUAGUUUGGCCUACUAGAUUGGUUUUUCUUGCAACUAGUUGACCUGUUGUGUCAAAUGGCGCAGAGACCUGCUGAAGACAUGUUGCCGAUGAAAAUAGUUUCAUGCUGCAAGAACCUUCAACUAAAGCCAUGUUCGCGAUGAAAAUAGUUUCCUUUACUAAGGACAGGCCAUGUAUAUACAGUCGGUUUAGUUGUGGUCUGCUAAAUCCAUAUGUGCCUUAAAAAACAUGGUUUAAUUUGCAGAGCCUCAUGUAUUUCAAGUAUGAAUAAGAACUACGAACUCUUCUUGUGCGAUUCAAACACAUUUCUGGAGUUUUUAUUUCUUAGUACAUGUUGUCUAAAGUAACAUUUGCCCAGAGAGAGAGAGAGAGAGAGUCUCAUUAUGAUUAUUAUUAAAAGAUAUUAAAUUUGAAAUAAACAAUUUCAUUUACUUGAAGCACUUGAAGAAAGAGAACUUAGACAUAAUUUCACGCAAUGCUCAUUUAACCUUUUUUUACUGUACAUAGUAGGGCAAGACCCCACUGCAAUUUUUAUAUUAUAUAAAGAAGAGUAAGAAAGUAACCAGGCUUGAGAUAAGCCAAAAAGAAGAAAAAAAGAACUAUUCUAUACAAGCCGAGCUAGCAAAGAAAACAACAAAAGAAAAUUACAGGACAAGAUUGUCCAACCAGGAAAAGAAAGAAGAUGAAAACUUCUCCUUAAUUCUAAAUUUGAGCAGGUGUAACUCUGAAAGGAAGAUGAAUUUCCAUCUCUCAAUGCUAGUAGGAAUGUUAUUGAAAAUCUUAUCAUUCCUGAUUAUCCAAAUGGCCCAAGAGGCAAUGAUUAUGAUUUCCAUCGAAAAAGGUUGCUGAAGAUUGCCCCUUAAGUCUGGAAUGGCUUCCAUGAUGGUUAGAUUUUGUUGUUUGUUUGGACAUAGAAUAUCCCAGCAAGCACAGGCAAAAGGGUAAGUCCAAAACAUGUGGUGUAAGGUUUCUUCCUGCUGACAGUUUAGAGUAGCACAAUUAUAGUUGUCAAGAUGGAUAGUUUUCCUUUUGAGCAAAUUCCUGGUAUUGAGUCUAUCAUGCAGAAGUCUCCAAAAGAAGACCUUGUGUUUUGGCUGAGCAGAACUUUUCCAAAUCCAGGUGAACUGAGCUGGGACAAUUUUUACACCUAUCAAAAUUUUGUAUGCUUUGGCCACAGGGUGGUCUGGGUGUGAUUAACAUCUUUGUGCAAAACCAAGCACUUCUGCUCAAAAACCUACACAAAUUCUACAAUAGGGAAAAUAUACCUUGGGUUGACCUCAUUUGGGAGGCUUAUUAUGACAAUGGAAUCCUACCAGGGCAAAAAUGGGAAGGAUCUUUCUGGUGGAAGUGUAAUUUGAGGCUCAUUGAUAGCUAUAAAUCCAUGGCAAGAUGCACAAUUGGCGAUGGUAAAUCUGCUCUGUUUUGGUCUGACCUCUGGCACUCUGCUUGUCUGACUCGAAUGUUCCCUCAUCUUUACUCCUUUGUCAGAGAUCAAAAUCUUUCAGUGCAACAGGUUCUUAUGUUUGAAUACUUGGAAGACUUAUUUCACCUACCACUCACUCAGGAAGCUUUUAUGGAAUUUGAGAUGAUGGAAGAGAUUUGUGACACUUUAAGGAGAUCUGUAUGCUCAUUUAACCUGUGAAGGACUACGCAAUGCUCAUUUAGCCUGUGAAGGACAAAAAUAUUCCAUCGUCUCUGAAUGAUGAACUAAAUAAAUAAGAAAUAUAUGUAGUAAAUUCAUUCAAAGUAGAAAAGGGAUCAUACAUCAAAUAAGGCAUUACAACAAACAUGGUGUUAUCUUAGUAAAAGAAAUUACAUCAUUAGAAGAGAAAAGGGAAGAAAACCAAACAUGAGAUUGAGAUUAAUACAUCUAGCAGGAGGUCGUAGACAUCACUGUGAUCAUUUUGCGGCCUGGGGAGCAAGGCUCCAUGGUUUUUAUAUGCCUUGUCCAGCUGCUGGAGUAGAUGACAUGGAA